UACGGGGGGAGCAAGCGUUGUUCGGAUUUACUGGGCGAAAAGGGCGCGUAGGCGGUCGUGACAAGUCACUUGUGAAAUCUCCGGGCUUAACUCGGAACGGUCAAGUGAUACUGUCGGACUAGAGUACAGAAGGGGCAACUGGAAUUCUCGGUGUAGCGGUGAAAUGCGUAGAUAUCGAGAGGAACACCUGCGGCGAAGGCGGGUUGCUGGGCUGAUACUGACGCUGAGGCGCGAAAGCCAGGGGAGCGAACGGG
rnacentral:rRNA from 1 species